rnacentral:rRNA from 1 species
AUGCACGUGUCCCUGCCAAGAGGCAUACACAUACAGUUUUACGUAGUAUUAGAGCUGGCCUCGCAAUCAUCCAUGACGAGCUCUUCAAGUUCCUUCCCCUCAUCUCCGUUUGCCCACGUCGCAACAGAGAAGCUCACCAAGGGGAACCAGGUGUUGUGGCUGGCCUCUGGGUCAUGUUUUGCACACUACUGUUCAAUAAAGUGUGGAGAGUUGCCUAUUUCCGCCUCUUUGACAAGUCGUAUGGAAAGACAUAUGUUUUGUGCCUGUUACUUGGGGCAGGAUAAACUGCAAGGCGACAACAACUUAAGUGCGUCACCAAAUAACUAA